UCUACGGGAGGCAGCAGUGAGGAAUAUUGGUCAAUGGACGAGAGUCUGAACCAGCCAAGUAGCGUGAAGGAUGACUGCCCUAUGGGUUGUAAACUUCUUUUAUAUGGGAAUAAAAUGUUCCACGUGUGGGAUUUUGUAUGUACCCUAUGAAUAAGGAUCGACUAACUCCGUGCCAGCAGCCGCGGUAAUACGGAGGAUCCGAGCGUUAUCCGGAUUUAUUGGGUUUAAAGGGAGCGUAGGUGGAUUGUUAAGUCAGUUGUGAAAGUUUGCGGCUCAACCGUAAAAUUGCAGUUGAUACUGGCAGGCUUGAGUACAGUUGAGGGAGGCGGAAUUCGUGGUGUAGCGGUGAAAUGCUUAGAUAUCACGAAGAACUCCGAUUGCGAAGGCAGCCUACUAGACUGCCACUGACAUUGAUGCUCGAAAGUGUGGGUAUCAAACAGGAUUAGAUACCCUAGUAGUC
rnacentral:rRNA from 1 species